GAGGGUGUAGCUCAGUGGUAGAGCAUACACAAGGUCCUGGGUUCAAUCCCUGGUACCUCCA
rfam:Camelus ferus unplaced genomic scaffold scaffold803, whole genome shotgun sequence.